rnacentral:rRNA from 1 species
UACGUAGGGUGCAAGCGUUAAUCGGAAUUACUGGGCGUAAAGCGUGCGCAGGCGGUUGUGCAAGACAGAUGUGAAAUCCCCGGGCUUAACCUGGGAACUGCAUUUGGGACUGCAAGGCUGGAGUGUGGCAGAGGAGACUGGAAUUCCCGGUGUAGCAGUGAAAUGCGUAGAUAUCGGGAGGAAUACCGAUGGCGAAGGCAGGUCUCUGGGCUGACACUGACGCUCAUGCACGAAAGCGUGGGGAGCAAACAGG